CUGAGAGGGUGACCGGCCACAUUGGGACUGAGACACGGCCCAAACUCCUACGGGAGGCCGCAGUGGGGAAUUUUGCACAAUGGGGGAAACCCUGAUGCAGCGACGCCGCGUGAGCGAUGAAGUAUUUCGGUAUGUAAAGCUCUAUCAGCAGGAAGAAAAUGACAGUACCUGACUAAGAAGCCCCGGCUAACUCGUGCCAGCAGCCGC
rnacentral:rRNA from 1 species